UACGUAGGGGGCAAGCGUUGUCCGGAUUUAUUGGGCGUAAAGAGCGUGUAGGCGGCCAUGUAGGUCCGUUGUGAAAACUCGAGGCUCAACCUCGAGACGCCGAUGGAAACCAUGUGGCUAGAGUCCGGAAGAGGAGAGUGGAAUUCCUGGUGUAGCGGUGAAAUGCGCAGAUAUCAGGAAGAACACCUGUGGCUAAGGCGGCUCUCUAGUACGGUACUGACGCUGAGACGCGAAAGCGUGGGGAGCGAACAGG
rnacentral:rRNA from 1 species